AAAAUUUUUACAAUAGAGUCAGAUCUGAUGAGUAAAAAUGAAAAGGUUUCUUUUGCAUUUCUUUGAGUUAAUAAGUAUGGAGAAGCAAGGCGUGAAAAUGAGAGAAAGCUUGAUACCCAAUAUCAACGAAAAAUUGCCGAAGCACUUGAUAAUCACUUGAUUGCUAUCCAAAGGGACCAUGAACUUAGGUCCCAGAUAGAAGAAAGGAAAAUAAGAAGUGAUGCGGCUUAUGAAGGGGCCAAAAGAAAAGAGAAAGCUCUCCUGGAAGAAAAACUCCGCCAAGAAAAAGCCAAAGCAGAAGCUGAGGCAAAACUCAGAGCUGAAGAAGCAAAUAGGGCUGCAAUGGAAGCUCAGAGAAGAGAAGCAAAAGAGGCUACUGAAAAGGAGGCCAAUGAAGCGUCAAGC